GAUGAACGCUAGCUACAGGCUUAACACAUGCAAGUCGAGGGGAAACGAUAUUGGAAGCUUGCUUCCGAUAGGCGUCGACCGGCGCACGGGUGAGUAACGCGUAUCCAACCUGCCCACCACUUGGGGAUAACCUUGCGAAAGUAAGACUAAUACCCAAUGAUAUCUCUAGAAGACAUCUGAAAGGGAUUAAAGAUUUAUCGGUGAUGGAUGGGGAUGCGUCUGAUUAGCUUGUUGGCGGGGUAACGGCCCACCAAGGCUACGAUCAGUAGGGGUUCUGGGGGGAAGGUCCCCCACAUUGGACCGAGGACACGGUCCAAACUCCUACGGGAGGCAGCAGUGAGGAAUAUUGGUCAAUGGGCGAGAGCCUGAACCAGCCAAGUAGCGUGCAGGAUGACGGCCCUAUGGGUUGUAAACUGCUUUUAUAAGGGAAUAAAGUGAGUCUCGUGAGACUUUUUGCAUGUACCUUAUGAAUAAGGACCGGCUAAUUCCGUGCCAGCCGCCGCCGUAA
rnacentral:rRNA from 1 species